rnacentral:misc_RNA from 1 species
AAAUUUUUUGUUUAAAAUAUUAAUUAUAAAAGUUCAUGUUACAUUUUUUCUUUCAGUAAUUCAGUAUUAUGUUUCCUGUUUUUUUCCUCUUAUUGGAAGAUUUAUCACUUCUAUGUACUUGAAAUAACUUUUUAAAAUCAAGAUAUAGAAAUGCCAAAUUCGAAACAGCAGUAACAUAAUUGGGCUGAUAACGUCACUUCUCUUUUCAG